AGAGUUUGAUCCUGGCUCAGGACGAACGCUGGCGGCGUGCCUAAUACAUGCAAGUCGAGCGGACAGAAGGGAGCUUGCUCCCGGAUGUUAGCGGCGGACGGGUGAGUAACACGUGGGUAACCUGCCUGUAAGACUGGGAUAACUCCGGGAAACCGGAGCUAAUACCGGAUAGUUCCUUGAACCGCAUGGUUCAAGGAUGAAAGACGGUUUCGGCUGUCACUUACAGAUGGACCCGCGGCGCAUUACCUAGAUGGUGGGGUAAUGGCUCACCAAGGCAACGAUGCGUAGCCUACCGGAGAGGGUGAUCGGCCACACUGGGACUGACACACGGCCCAGACUCCUACCGGAGGCAGCAGUAUGGAAUCUUCCGCAGUGGACGAAAGUCUGACCGAGCAACGCCGCGUGAGUGAUGAAGGUUUUCGGAUCGUAAAGCUCUGUUGUUAGGGAAGAACAAGUGUGAGAGUAACUGCUCGCACCUUGAAAGUACCUAACCAGAAAGCCACGGCUAAAUACGUGCCAGCAGCCGCGGUAAUACGUAGGUGGCAAGCGUUGUCCGGAAUUAUUGCGCGUAUAGGGCUCGCAGGCAGUUUCUUAAGUCUGAUGUGAAACGCCGCGGCUCAACCUGGGAGGGUCAUUGGAA
rnacentral:rRNA from 1 species